UGGGGAAUAUUGGACAAUGGGCGAAAGCCUGAUCCAGCCAUGCCGCGUGAGUGAAGAAGGUCUUCGGAUUGUAAAGCACUUUAAGUUGGGAGGAAGGGCAUUAACCUAAUACGUUAGUGUUUUGACGUUACCGACAGAAUAAGCACCGGCUAACUCUGUGCCAGCAGCCGCGGUAAUACAGGGGGUGCAAGCGUUAAUCGGAAUUACUGGGCGUAAAGCGCGCGUAGGUGGUUUGUUAAGUUGGAUGUGAAAUCCCCGGGCUCAACCUGGGAACUGCAUUCAAAACUGACUGACUAGAGUAUGGUAGAGGGUGGUGGAAUUUCCUGUGUAGCGGUGAAAUGCGUAGAUAUAGGAAGGAACACCAGUGGCGAAGGCGACCACCUGGACUAAUACUGACACUGAGGUGCGAAAGCGUGGGGAGCAAACA
rnacentral:rRNA from 1 species